GACGAACGCUGGCGGCGUGCUUAACACAUGCAAGUCGAACGGAAAGGCCCUGCUUUUGUGGGGUGCUCGAGUGGCGAACGGGUGAGUAACACGUGAGUAACCUGCCCUUGACUUUGGGAUAACUUCAGGAAACUGGGGCUAAUACCGGAUAGGAGCUCCUGCUGCAUGGUGGGGGUUGGAAAGUUUCGGCGGUUGGGGAUGGACUCGCGGCUUGUCCGCUUGUUGGUGGGGUAGUGGCUUACCAAGGCUUCGACGGGUAGCCGGCCUGAGAGGGUGACCGGCCACAUUGGGACUGAGAUGCGGCCGAGAGUCCUACGGGAGGCAGCGGUGGGGAAUAUUGCACAAUGGGCGGAAGCCUGAUGCAGCUACGCCGCGCGGGAUGACGGCCUUCGGGUUGUAAACCGCUGUCGCCGGUGACGAGGCGUGAGUGACGGUAAUGGGUAAGGAAGCACCGGCUAACUACGUG
rnacentral:rRNA from 1 species